GGUUCCAUAGUGUAGGGGUUAGCACAUGAGAUUCUGAUUCUCAUAUCCGGAGUUCGAAUCUCCGUGGGACCU
rfam:Monosiga brevicollis MX1 MONBRscaffold_33 genomic scaffold, whole genome shotgun sequence.